GCACUCACUUUAUCAGCACAUAUACUAAAAUUGGAAUGAUACAGAGAAUAUUAGCAUAACCCCUAAACAAAGAUGACAUAAAAAUUCGUGAAGCCUUCUACAUUAAA